UGUUCCUUGGGCAAAGAAUUGCCUCAAGGGAACCAAGCCCACGUGCGUGGGCCUGAUCUGGAGUCAAGGGGCAGAGGACACCAACAGUGACAUUCACAGACUGUGACUCCAUGAAUGGACCAGCUGGCAUUGUUGGGGUCGAAGCCCCGGGAGCCAAGGUAACUGUUUUUCACAUGAGGCUCUUAAUGCUAGACAUAAACCCUGAGAACACUGACCUCUUGGGAAAAUGAAGACUUCAUUUUGAAGCCCCCACAUCUUGUUGACAAGAUGGCCACUUCAGCCUGUGGGAGAGCAGCAAGCCACCACUGAGGACUCUGUGUGACUUGGCUCUGGGCCAAGUCUGCUGCGAUAGGGGGCCGUCUCAUUACGGAGAACUGUUGCUCGCAAGUCUCAGAGGCAACGGCCCUCCAGUCACAUCCAUUUGUCGCAGAAAUGUGAAAAUUGUUGUUGUAAGUGUUCCAGAGUGACGGAGUGCACGCCAGGACACAGGAGUCCAACCAACAAGGUGGUAGACAUGUGGAGUCUGAGGUUUGCUGCUGAGGUUUGCAGGGCCAGUGUGAACUAAAGCUUAUCAAUCAACAUCCCCUUUCUGGGGUAUUCACGUUGUUUUCCAGGGAAUGCUGCAGGAUGCUUCUGCUCUCCCCUGCAUAGAGGUGGAGGAUACAUUUUGUCACUUGAAUUUCAUGGGCAGAAGUGACCAGCAGCCACACUGGACAGGAAUUUGGGGACAUUUGAGAGCAAUGCCCUGGAGAAUGCACUGGUAGAAGCAUGGCCAAGAAUGACACUGGCAUUCUGCAGCGUGUCAGGCUGGGAAGGCCACCAGAGCACAUCACAGUCUCUAGUACAGCCUGGCUGGGAUGAGAG